rnacentral:rRNA from 1 species
GGACGUGAAAGCUCCUGGCUCAACUAGGAGAGGUCGUUCAAAACUGCCUGGCUAGAGGGCGACAGAGGGAGGUGGAAUUCCCGGUGUAGUGGUGAAAUGCGUAGAUAUCGGGAGGAACACCAGUGGCGAAGGCGGCCUCCUGGGUCGCUCCUGACGCUCAGACACGAAAGCUAGGGGAGCAAACGGGAUUAGAUACCCCGGUAGUCCUAGCUGUAAACGAUGUGGACUUGGCGUUGGUGGGGUCAAAUCCAUCAGUGCCGUAGCUAACGCGAUAAGUCCACCGCCUGGGGACUACGACCGCAAGGUUAAAACUCAAAGGAAUUGGCGGGGGCCCGCACAAGCAGCGGAGCGUGUGGUUUAAUUCGAUGCUACACGAAGAACCUUACCCGGGUUUGACAUCCAGGUGGUAGGGAACCGAAAGGCGACCGACCCUUCGGGGAGCCUGGACAGGUGCUGCAUGGCUGUCGUCAGCUCGUGUCGUGAGAUGUCCGGUUAAGUCCGGUAACGAGCGCAACCCUUGCUGUAUGUUAUACGUGUCAUACAGGACUGCCGGUUAGUGCCGGAGGAAGGCGGGGAUGACGUCAAGUCAGCAUGGCCUUUAUAUCCGGGGCUACACACACGCUACAAUGGCCAGUACAACAGGUUGCAAAACCACGAGGUGGAGCCAAUCCCCAAAACUGGCCUCAGUUCAGAUUGCAGGCUGCAACUCGCCUGCAUGAAGUCGGAGUUGCUAGUAACCGCGCGUCAGCUAUAGUGCGGUGAAUACGUUCUCGGGCCU